CGGCGCAGACACACGCGGACGAGGAAGACUGAGACUGCUCUCUGAAAAACUUAUUGCAGGUGAAUCAUUUCUAGAAUUUCGGUGAUGCUGUCUGCCUGUUGUCUACCUGACCGUUGUUUAUCUUUUGUGAUAUCCUAUCAUGCUUCGAUGGCGUAUUGUUUUUGCAUCGGCCACAAUUUUCUGUUUUCCGCUGUUUUCAGCGUCCGCCGAAGCAGAUGCAGGAAAUGCAACUGAACAGGGAAACGGAAAUCGUACCGAAUCGACCAAUUCGCAAAGAAGAUCCUGGAGCGUAUUAACACCACAGCCGACCCGUGUGAUGACUUCUAUCAACACGCCUGCGGAAAUUGGAUGCAGAAUCACGAGAUUCUCGACAAUGAGACCCUCGUCGAUGAAUUUUACUAUUUACAGAAAAAACUGGAGAAAAUCGGUCAAAAUUUGCUGGAUAACGUCACAAAAGACCCGUUUCCGUCGGAAGUCAAAAUGAAACACUUGUACCGGCAGUGCAAAGACGAAGGUAGUAAAUUACUUACCAAACGCAUAAAUGUGAUCUCGUGUUUCACUAGACCAAAUUGAGCGGCAAAGUGGCAAGCCGCUGAUCGGUUUCCUGGACAAAUACAGUACAUGGGCGGAUGGCCAAUUCUCACUCCCAACUGGAAUGGUUCCAGUUUCGACAUCUUUAACGCGCUCGUCAAAUUUCACUUCGCCGGCAGCGCGCACUUUUUCGAAAUUCUCGUUUACAAGGAUGUCGUCAAUCCGUUGACCAACGAGAUCGUCCUUGCCGAACCGACGACCUUCGCCACUGUCGACUUAUUGGCGAAUGAAAUCACGGGAAAAUUAUAUUGAGAGUUAUUUACAACUACUGUUGAACGUAACAUCUUUACUGCUGCGAGAGACGAAGCAGACGAGUGUGGAUGUCAACCAAUUGUCACCGAAUCUCACGGAUAUUGUCGCGACUGAAAAGUAUUUUGCCAUGGCUGGACUGUCCGCAGUAGAUUCUCAGAACGAUACCAUAUUUCUGAACAAAAUGACGCUACGUGAAUUUGCCCAACGAUACCAGUUCAACUCUUCCUUAAUGAAGAAUAUGACGGAAUAUCUGAAGGCUUAUUUCAAUGAAGCCAACAUUGCGGGUGUCAUCCACAACGAUACUGUCGUGGUUGUACCAAAUUUGUCAUUUUGGGCCAUGCUGGACGCCAAAUUCGCGGAGUUUGAAAAACAGGGCGCGGAAGGGAUGAAACGCGCGGCCAAUUAUAUCGGCUGGAGAGGCAUACAACAUGCGCUGAAAUAUUUGUCCCUUGAUUACAGAAGAACCCAAGCUGAGUUUGAACAGAAGUCCACGGGUAGAAAAGCUAAAGAGGAACCACCAGCUGGCGAGCGUUGUCUCCGUGUCAUUCGGAAUCUAUGCCUCUGACGAUGGGCGCAAUCUUCGUUCGGGAUAUCGUUCCGAAACUUCUUAAACAAAAAGUAUUGCUAAUUUUCGUCUAUGUAUACAUUAUGCAGUUAGAUUUUGUGACAGCAGGCGAACAAAGGCUCACGAUAGUGAGAGAAGGCUUUAUUGUGAUAGCAAUAAAGUACA